CUGUAGUGCAAAAAGAAUUCCUGGCU
rnacentral:piRNA from 1 species